UGUAACCCGCCGUUUCUCUCGGGGAGCGUUUGGUUUGUAACCCGCCGUUUCUCUCGAGGCGCGUUUGGUUUGUAACCCGCCGUUUCUCUCGGGGAGCGUUUGGUUUGUAACCCGCCGUUUCUCUCGGGGAGCGUUUGGUUUGUAACCCGCCGUUUCUCUCGGGGAGCGUUUGGUUUGUAACCCGCCGUUUCUCUCGAGGAGCGUUUGGUUUGUAACCCGCCGUUUCUCUCGGGGAGCGUUUGGUUUGUAACCCGCCGUUUCUCUCGGGGAGCGUUUGGUUUGUAACCCGCCGUUUCUCUCGGGGAGCGUUUGGUUUGUAACCCGCCGUUUCUCUCAAGGCGCGUUUGGUUUCUAACCCGCCGUUUCUCUCAAGGCGCGUUUGGUUUGUAACCCGCCGUUUCUCUCGGGGAGCGUUUGGUUUGUAACCCGCCGUUUCUCUCAAGGCGCGUUUGGUUUCUAACCCGCCGUUUCUCUCAAGGCGCGUUUGGUUUGUAACCCGCCGUUUCUCUCGGGGAGCGUUUGGUUUGUAACCCGCCGUUUCUCUCAAGGCGCGUUUGGUUUCUAACCCGCCGUUUCUCUGGGGGAGCAUUUGGUUUCUAACCCGCCUUUUCUCUCAAGGCGCGUUUGGUUUGUAACCCGCCGUGUUUCUGUGUUUCAGGGUGAAGCUGUUUGAGGGGACAGACAUGGUGGCGGACUCUGGCGUGGUGAUCGACACCACGAUGAGAGGAGGCCGGCUUGGCGUCUUCUGUUUCUCCCAGGAAAACAUCAUCUGGUCCAACCUGCGCUACAGAUGUAACGACACGGUGCCUGAAGACUUCCAGUCGCAUCGUAAACAAGUUCUGAUGCACAUUCAGGUGUGAGAGCUGCAGACGAACUGUUGACUCGCAGCUCUCUGAAUCCACGUUAAUCUGAGUGUGUGUGUGUUGAAUGAAAGAGGUGGAUUAAAGCUGUCUGGGGAAACACGGACGAGAAGCACCUGAACGCACCUGAAAAGGGACGGCCCUGUUUCUCCAGACCAGCGUUCAGUCAGAGCAGAGUCUGGCCUGCUGCGAACUACUGAGCAUUUAGAGGAUCCAGUCUGACGCGGUCUCGCCACGCUGCCGGCGUUUCUUCAUGUGAUGAAGCUUUUUCAGACACGUUCGGCCAGUGAGACCUGCUGAGAAGCGCUAAGCUAACGUUACAGAGAGGAGAGCCGUGUCAUUGAUUAGAUUGAAAAAUAUUCCUUCUACAUGUUUUCUGUUUGUAUUUCCAAAUGUACAUAUCUCUGCUGAAAUAAACUCCCGUCCACGACUGUUCCUAUAAA